GACGAACGCUGGCGGCGUGCCUAAUACAUGCCAGUUGAGCGAUGAAGAUUGGUGCUUGCACCAAUUUGAAGAGCAGCGAACGGGUGAGUAACGCGUGGGGAAUCUGCCUUUGAGCGGGGGACGACAUUUGGAAACGAAUGCUAAUACCGCAUAAUAACUUUAAACAUAAGUUUUAAGUUUGAAAGAUGCAAUUGCAUCACUCAAAGAUGAUCCCGCGUUGUAUUAGCUAGUUGGUGAGGUAAAGGCUCACCAAGGCGAUGAUACAUAGCCGACCUGAGAGGGUGAUCGGCCACAUUGGGACUGAGACACGGCCCAAACUCCUACGGGAGGCAGCAGUAGGGAAUCUUCGGCAAUGGACGAAAGUCUGACCGAGCAACGCCGCGUGAGUGAAGAAGGUUUUCGGAUCGUAAAACUCUGUUGGUAGAGAAGAACGUUGGUGAGAGUGGAAAGCUCAUCAAGUGACGGUAACUACCCAGAAAGGGACGGCUAACUACGUG
rnacentral:rRNA from 1 species